rnacentral:siRNA from 1 species
GGCCAUUGUACUGGAUGCUUG